rnacentral:tRNA from 1 species
CGUCGUUUGGGACGAUGAGGUCGCAGGUUCGAAUCCUGUCUCCCCGACCA